rnacentral:rRNA from 1 species
AACGAACGCUGGCGGCAUGCCUAACACAUGCAAGUCGAACGAGACCUUCGGGUCUAGUGGCGCACGGGUGCGUAACGCGUGGGAACCUGCCCUUAGGUUCGGAAUAACUCCCCGAAAGGGGUGCUAAUACCGGAUAAUGUCCUCGGACCAAAGAUUCAUCGCCUUUGGAUGGGCCCGCGUUGGAUUAGCUAGUUGGUAGGGUAAAAGCCUACCAAGGCGACGAUCCAUAGCUGGUCAGAGAGGAUGAUCAGCCACACUGGGACUGAGACACGGCCCAGACUCCUACGGGAGGCAGCAGUGGGGAAUAUUGGAAAAUGGGCGAAAGCCUGAUGCAGCAAUGCCGCGUGAGUGAUGAAGGCCUUAGGGUUGUAAAGCUCUUUUACCCGGGAUGAUAAUGACAGUACCGGGAGAAUAAGCUCCGGCUAACUCCGUG